rnacentral:misc_RNA from 1 species
CAACCCUCAAGCCUGGCUUGGUGUUGGGGCACCGCCUUUGCAAAAGGGCGGGCCCUGAAAUCUAGUGGCGAGCUCGCCAGGACCCCGAGCGUAGUAGUUAUAUCUCGUUCUGGAAGGCCCUGGCGGUGCCCUGCCGUUAAACCCCCAACUUCUGAAA